UCUUAUGGGUUAUAUGCUUUUUUUUUUUUUUUUUAAGUCUCUUUACCCACAUCUUAGCAGAGCUUGGGGAGGAGGCUUGAGGCUGAUGCACAUGUUCAAUCUGCUGUGUUUAACGGGAAGUCCUCAGAACCCAAUGUUUUCCACCCUAAUUUUAUUGAAAUAGGCUUCCUCAUGUAAACUAGUCCCAAUUUUGAAAUGGAAGUCAAGGAGAAAUAUGACUUGAUUCACGUAGUUUGAAGACCACUUUCCAAAAAUGCUUUUGGCCUGCGUGGUUAAGUCUGAAUGAUCAGUCUAAGUAUAAUCGUCUGACCAUCAUGUGUGGACCGUGUAUACACAGCUCGAACCCAGAGCCCCAGCCUCGUCCCUUCUGAUGAACACCAGUGCCCACAAACAGAAGGUUCCCCUUCUCUCACCCUGGAAUAAACAGGAAGGUCUCUUGGAGCUGUGGUCUCAGGGCCAUAGCCCUGCCCCUAAUUUCUUCAGACCCUUUACUAAGAACUGAGUCAUUGCAACAUCGUGCUCAGCCAGCUGUCUCAGCACAAGAAAAGCUUUGCUGUGGUAUGAGGUUUUGUGGGCUGCAAACUACAUCUAGGUCAGCAAAUUAAACUCCACGGUGUGGUUACACAGUCCAGCUUCAUCUAGCUCAAGGGCUGUCUGACUUCACUCUCUGGGCAAUGGCUCCUCUGGCACUUGGGACACCCUCCGCGGGUGUUUAAGGUACAACACUUCAAGCCUAAACCACUGGAUGGCAUGUGCCUAAACACAGAAUCUUGUUUUCUCCGCCAGGGCUCCAGGGUAUGUGAGUAACAGCACUCCACAUCCAUAGACACUGAGAUUUUGUGUGUGCAUAUUGGGACAAAAGGGGAAGGUGGAGACGUAUUUCUUUGUUCCUUACUUUUAUCUACUACUUGUGUUUUUUUGCUGCCAUGAUGACCCAAAAUGAGCCUUUUUUUUUUCUCAGUUCCCUUUCAUGGAAGAAGAAUUUUAAGUUUCAAGAAGAAUUUCAUAACAGACGGCCAACUGGUAUACCUGGAUAGGGUUUUACAAAAGGCAGCAUCGUUCCCAGGCUCCGCGUCCAACGGCCCUAAUCUUCCAGCAUCCCGGCCAGCUGGGUGCAUUUGACAGCAUGAGGGAAGCGUGGCCCCAGCGAGUUGUACAAAUUGCGCUGAUUAAGAGUCUCACUCGCGCUCUUAAUUGGAAGAGGGAGGACGUGUGUUCAUGUCUGUCCAACCGAAAGCCAGGGCUCUUUCCACAAUGCUAUUUUAGAAGACCUGCGUGUAGGCCCUCGGAGUGAGCAGCUUCUACAGACCUCUGAUCUCGUCUCUCAAGUGUGGACUAUUCCUGGCUUUACUCCCACAGGAGAAACUUCCUUUCAAAUGCUGCAUAUACCUUUUGCACCUUGAAGCCCGGUUACAGAAUGCAAGUCUAUUAAGACCAUGGCAGAAUAAGAGGAAAUAAGUAUUAAAAAGCGAAGGCUAUGCCCACGGUCAAGAUUCCAAAGUUGAAGGCUACAGUAGAACCGAGUCGGUAGUCCCACGGGCGUGUCCCCACCCCACUCUCUGCCCUCCCUCAGGUGGGUGGCCUCUCGCUGCCAACUUGUCCUAACCACAGGAAAGCACAGAAGAGUGUGAACUUUGCCUCAUUUGAACUCUGUUUCCUGUGUGAGGGCCGUGUCUCAUUUAAAGGAAGUGUAAACAAUGGUGAAUGAUACUUGUAUUAGUUUGCUAGGGCCGACCUGAUGAGGCGGGCUCGAAUGACAGAAAUGUCUCACAGUCCUGGAGACUACAUGUUUGAGGUGAAGGUGUUCGCAGGGAUUGUAUCCCCGCCACCUGUGGAUACUUGUUUGUCCCAAAGCCCACUGGUGACCAGCUCCUUCAGGUAAUGGGAAGGAAUCCCGUGCGCCUCCGGUGCCAACGCGGGCAUGCCUCACUUUAAGGAAGCUUCCUCGCUAAAUCCUACCCGCAAAAGUCAGGACAACUGUGUGUCUACCUCGCACUCCUACCCAGCUUCUGCUAGAUCCAAACCCUGAGCCCCAGCUAUAGAGUGUGCACCUGACCCAGGCUGUCAAUCGUGGUGCCCCACCCCCCGCCCCUGGUGCCCAGAAGCCACGAGAGACCUAAUGCAACUAAGUGGCCGCCAUUAAAAAGCGGGUACCGAAAGCCUGCUGGUUGCCUGCCCCAGCAUUCAUUUGCAGCUUACUCCUUAGUGACACAAGUCCAAUUGUAAAAAAUUGUGAUAAAACUCACAUAACAAACGCCACCCUUCUGAAGUGUGCAAUUCUGUAUUUAGUCACUGACAAGGUUGCACGACCAUCACCCCUCCCUAGUUCCAGACACUUUCCCUCACCCAGGGGACUUAAUUUAUUCAGGGUGGCAGUCUACCAGUUGGAAGACCAUUUCUCCACUGGGCAGCUAGUUGUGCACUGGGACUAGGUUUGGGGGGCGAACUGUGAGCGUAAGUGGAAGAGGCCCUGGGAAUGGGCCUCCCUGUCCCCUCCUGUUGCUCUCCUGUAGCUAUCAGCCGGACUUCCAGGGGUUUGGUUGGGGGCUCGCUGCCCUCGGAAUGGGAAGGAUAGGUCUUCUCAAGGGGGAGUUCCCACCUCUACUGCCACUGGUUCCCGAAGGAAUGAAGUCACAGGCCUAGCCCAGAUCCACACCAGGGUGUGAAGCCCAGCACGUGUGGCCCAGGCCCACGAUCCUGGGUCGUGUCAGCUACAGAACAAUCUCUGAUGCAUUCCUUUUUUUUUUUUUUUUUUAAUUUGAGACAAAGAGAGACACCGUGCUUGAGAGGGGGAGAGGGGCAGAGGGAGAGAGAGAGAGAAUUCCAAGCAGGCUCCACACUCAGCGUGGAGCCCCCAACCUAGGGCUCGAUCCUAUGACCCAGGGAUCACGACCCACGCCAAAAUCAAGAGUCGGCCAGGCAACAGACUGAGCCACCCAGGUGCCCCUGAUGUAUUCCUAUCUCACUUGACUUUUCUGACAUGACCUAGUGUCUGUCUCCGAGCAGCCUGAACUUUGACUGCUAGGGCUCCCCCUCCCAUGGCUGAGGAGCCCGUCUGUGGGGGGCUGGUACAAGCCCACCCCCUGUUCCACGCGGCAGCCUGGGUAAUAAGCUUAUAUAUAUGGUGCUCACUCUGUGCCAGGCUUUGAAAGAAGCAUUUGACAUGAAUCAGCUCCUGUCAUCCUCACGGUAACCCUAGGAGGUGAGAAUCAUCAUUUCCUUUUUUAGAGACCAGGAAACUGAGGCACAGAGCUCAUUUAUUUCACCACGUGGCCUUUUGUCCUGAAAAAGAACAUACGACAGAAGGCCAUCCGGUGACAUACAUGCAAAUCCUCCUUCCGCGUGGUUCCUCCCCCACUCACCACAGCCACUGACACCAUAGCUCCACGCACAGAUUGGGUGGCUUAAUGACAGAAAUGUAUUUAACUGGUCCCCCACUGGCUAUUUCCGAACUUUUGCUAUUGUAAACAACACUGCAACAAAUAUCAUCAUGUAUGUAUAAUUUCGUCCACACGUUUAUCUGUCAGACGGAUUACGAGAAGUGGGAUUUCCGAGGCAAAGGGCAGGUGCAUUUGUAAUUCUGAUGGACACUGCUCUCCAUAGGGAUUGAACCAAUCUGCUCUGUUUUGCUAUAGCUUCACCCACACACCAACAAAAUAGUAUCAAAUUCUGCCAAACUGAUAGGCAAAAAAAAAAAAAAAAAAAAAAGUAGAACUCCAUUGUACUCCAACUUGUCAUUCGCGUGUUAUGAAUUAAACUGAACAUCUUUUUUACUUGUUUGGGAUCCGUGACCCCAGUCUGGGAGUAAGCCAUGCGCUCGGGCCAGGCCUUGGGUGCAAUCAGCCCUCCCCUACCUCCCAGGUCAACAGAGCUGCAGCUCACUCAAGGCACCAACGCAGACGCUUCUUUCCAAAUGGCAGGGCUGCCCCGGGGGCGACCCCACGACAUCAGAAGAGCACAGUUUCUUGCAUUCUAGUUUUAAUACUUCUUCCAGCGCUUAAUAACACGUGAUCCAGACAAAAAAGAAUAUGAAAGAAAACAUGAAUGACUGUAAUCGCUUGACCCAGAAAUGUAUGGUAACAUUUUUAUGUCUUUCCUGCCAGUUUAUUUUUCUAAGUGUGUAUUUGCUUUCCCUUUUGAAAACUGUGUUUCUUUUUAGUUUCACUGAAAUACAGGUAUACAUUCGCAGCAAAAAAAAGCCAGCGCAAACCAGCCUUUAAAGAGGAAGAAAUGUGACAUGUGCUACAACAUGGAUGAACCUGGAGGACAUUAAGCAAAAUGAAAUAAGCCAGUCACGAAAAGACAUAUACUGGACAAUGUACCUAUAUGAGGUGCUUGGGGUGGUCAGAUUCACAGAGACAAAAUACAGCGGUGGUUGCCAGGGGCUGCAGGGAGGGGAUGGGGAGUUGCCGUUUAAAGGGUAUCAGAGUUUCGGAUUUUAAGAUGAAAAGAGUUCUAGAGAUGGUCGUACAACAAAGUGGAUGUAUUGAACUGUACACUUAAACAAAAUGAUUAAGAUAGCAAAUUCACGUUACCUGUAUUUCACCAUGAUUUACAAAAAUUUUUUAAUUUAAAAAUAGAUUGGGGUGCCUGGCUGGCUCAAUUCAUUAAGCAUCUGACCUCGGCUGAGGUCAUGAUCUCACAGCCCAUAAGUCCGAGCCCCGCGUCGGGCUCUGUGCUGGCAGCUCGGAGCCUGGAGCCUGCUUUGGGUUCUGUGUCUCCCUCUCUCUCUGCCCCUCCCCUGCUCACACUCUCUCUUUCAAAAUAAUAUUUUUUAAAAAUUAAAAAUGUUGUCCCUCCCCUUCAAAAGACAGCACAGAGGCAGUACCCACUUGAUUCCGUUACUAGCUGGGUAGGUAUGCUUCCAGAACUUUUCCUACGCAUGGACAUGCUUAUGUGAACAUAUAAAAAAAAUAUACUGCUUCAUGGGUAAAAUAGGUGAUGGGGACUGAGGAGGGCACUUGUCACGAUGAGCACCAGGUGAUGCAUGGAAGUGUUGAAACAUUCUGUUGUACACCUGAAGUUUAUAUAACACUGUGCCUUAACUAGCUGGUAUUAAAAUAAAAAAAACUCAUACAGACCUGCAUGGGGGGGGCGGGGCUUCGUUCUGUGUGGGGGUGACUGCAAUUUUACCAUUAAUGUUGUUAUUCUGGACCCUGUGUUUUUCGCUCAACUAAGUGUCAGAGAGAUAUUGCCUAAUUGGCACAUGGUACAUAUAGUGCAUGUCAGCAGCAGAGUAUAAAGUCAGACUUGUGUUUUCUUUUGUGGUUCCGCUAGUCUCCCUUUGCUGGACGUUUAUAGCAUCAUCGUUUUUAACCUUAUAAACAGUGCUCCAGGAACAUCCUUAGGCACGCUUCCUUGAGCACAUGUGCAAAUGUUUCUCUGGCGAUAAAGGCCAAGAAGUGUGACUGCUGGGUUGACGGGUACGUGCAUGUAAAAUUUCACUAGAUUCUGCCAAGUGACCUUUCCAAAAAGGCUGUGCCGAUUUAUACUUCAUUAGGAGUGUUGGAGACUUCCCACACCUCACCAGCACUUGAUAACAUAGGCCUUUUUUAGGUGUAACCGUUUUUUGUUUCAAUUUAUUUUUAAUAAAUGUAUGUAUAGUUGUACAUA